rnacentral:rRNA from 2 species
ACGGGUGAGUAACACGUAGGUAACCUGCCCAGAAGCGGGGGACAACAUUUGGAAACAGAUGCUAAUACCGCAUAACAGCGUUGUUCGCAUGAACAACGCUUAAAAGAUGGCUUCUCGCUAUCACUUCUGGAUGGACCUGCGGUGCAUUAGCUUGUUGGUGGGGUAACGGCCUACCAAGGCGAUGAUGCAUAGCCGAGUUGAGAGACUGAUCGGCCACAAUGGGACUGAGACACGGCCCAUACUCCUACGGGAGGCAGCAGUAGGGAAUCUUCCACAAUGGGCGCAAGCCUGAUGGAGCAACACCGCGUGAGUGAAGAAGGGUUUCGGCUCGUAAAGCUCUGUUGUUAAAGAAGAACACGUAUGAGAGUAACUGUUCAUACGUUGACGGUAUUUAACCAGAAAGUCACGGCUAACUACGUGCCAGCAGCCGCGGUAAUACGUAGGUGGCAAGCGUUAUCCGGAUUUAUUGGGCGUAAAGAGAGUGCAGGCGGUUUUCUAAGUCUGAUGUGAAAGCCUUCGGCUUAACCGGAGAAGUGCAUCGGAAACUGGAUAACUUGAGUGCAGAAGAGGGUAGUGGAACUCCAU